rnacentral:rRNA from 1 species
UGGGGAAUAUUGCACAAUGGGGGAAACCCUGAUGCAGCGACGCCGCGUGGAGGAAGAAGGUCUUCGGAUUGUAAACUCCUGUUGUUGGGGAAGAUAAUGACGGUACCCAACAAGGAAGUGACGGCUAACUACGUGCCAGCAGCCGCGGUAAAACGUAGGUCACAAGCGUUGUCCGGAAUUACUGGGUGUAAAGGGAGAGUAGGCGGGAUUGCAAGUCCGUUGUUAAAUCUAUCGGCCUAACCGGUAGCUGCGGCGGAAACUGUAGUUCUUGAGUGAAGUAGAGGCAGGCGGAAUUCCUAGUGUAGCGGUGAAAUGCGUAGAUAUUAGGAGGAACACCAGUGGCGAAGGCGGCCUGCUGGGCUUUAACUGACGCUGAGGCUCGAAAGUGUGGGGAGCAAACAGGAUUAGAU